rnacentral:piRNA from 1 species
UAAAACCAUUUGUGGCCUGUAUGUGUU